rnacentral:misc_RNA from 1 species
GAUGAAGAACGUAGCGAAAUGCGAUACUUGGUGUGAAUUGCAGAAUCCCGUGAACCAUCGAGUCUUUGAACGCAAGUUGCGCCCGAAGCCAUCAGGUUGAGGGCACGUCUGCCUGGGCGUCACAUAUCGUUGCCCAAUGCCUAUUGCAGUGCAAUAGGAAUUUCUAGGGCGAAUGAUGGCUUCCCGUGAGCGUUGUUGCCUCGCGGUUGGUUGAAAACCGAGUCCUUGGUAGGGUGUGCCAUGGUAGAUGGUGGUCGAGUUAGAACGAUACCGAUCAUGUGCAUGCUCCCCAAAAUAUGGCCUCUAUGACCCACACGCGUCUUUUGACGCUCAUGACGAGACCUCAGGUCAGGCGGGGCUACCCGCUGAAUUUAAGCAUAUCAAUAAGCGGAGGA